rnacentral:rRNA from 1 species
AACGGCGGGUGCAAGCGUUGCUCGGAAUUACUGGGCGUAAAGCGCGUGUAGGCGGUCUCGUGUGUCUGGCGUGAAAGCCCCGGGCUCACCACGGGAAGUGCGUUGGAAACUGCGAGACUAGAGUUCCGGAGACGAAGGUGGAAUUCCAGUUGUAGCGGUGAAAUGCGUAGAUAUCUGGAAGAACACCGGUGGCGAAGGCGGCCUUCUGGACGGUGACUGACGAUGAGACGCGAAAGCGUUUGGAGCAAACAGG